rnacentral:rRNA from 1 species
GAUGAACGCUGGCGGUGUGCCUAAUACAUGCAAGUCGAGCGAACAGACGAGGAGCUUACUCCUCUGACGUUAGCGGCGGACGGGUGAGUAACACGUGGAUAACCUACCUAUAAGACUGGGAUAACUUCGGGAAACCGGAGCUAAUACCGGAUAACAUGUUGAACCGCAUGGUUCAACAGUGAAAGACGGUCUUGCUGUCACUUAUAGAUGGAUCCGCGUCGCAUUAGCUAGUUGGUAAGGUAACGGCUUACCAAGGCAACGAUGCGUAGCCGACCUGAGAGGGUGAUCGGCAACACUGGAACUGAGACACGGUCCAGACUCCUACGGGAGGCAGCAGUAGGGAAUCUUCCGCAAUGGGCGAAAGCCUGACGGAGCAACGCCGCGUGAGUGAAGAAGGUCUUCGGAUCGUAAAACUCUGUUAUUAGGGAAGAACAAAUGUGUAAGUAACUAUGCACGUCUUGACGGUACCUAAUCAGAAAGCCACGGCUAACUACGUG